AAAAAGUGAAGAGCGCUCACUCCGCCUGGGUUUGUUUGGAAACUCAGAAUGUGGACUCUGUCUCUUCUGCUUUGUUCGAAGCCGGUGAAAAUCCAUCAUUUCAACCCUGCUGCCUGCUCAAUUGACCGUCACACGUGUAUACACCGUCUCUACACCGGAGCGUCUCAUCACCCACGGCGAGGAGCUCAGCCACCAUCCCAGUCCUCCCCAGUCUCUGCAGCGAGACCCCCCCCAUAGAGUGUCCCAGGGUGACAGAGGACAGCUCCAGCAUACAGCCGACCGACUGCGGCUCCCACCCGCACAGGAAGACCUCACUACAAACACAUGCUGGCACAUCACUCCCAUUGAAGUGACCACAGGUGUGCACACG